UAUAACUUCCUGAGCCAUUCAUCUGCUGUUGGGCAUCUGUGUUGCUUCCAGGAUGGGGCUAUUACAGACUGUGUUGCUAUGAACAUUGAUGUGCAUAGGACUUUUUGUUUUCCCUGGAUAAGUGCCUCAGAGAAUGAUUUUGGGUCCUAAGCUUAAACACAACUUCCAAAUUCUUUUCAACGUCAUUCCAGUCAUCAUCAUCCAAGAUACUGAAGUUAACUCUUAAGAUUAAACCCAUUUCAUAUCCCUGAUUUAAUUUUGAAGAGACACGCACUAGGAUUUGGUGGUCAGACUGAAUUACUUGGUCAGCUACCAUUUUAAAGGCAUCUUUCAUGAUACAAGCCCAAUUACAAGGAAGACAAACACAUAAACAAAUAGGCCUACAUCAAAUUGAAAAGCUUCUGCUCAGCAAAAGAAACCACCAUUCACACAAAAAGACUCCUUAUAGAAUGGGAGUAAAAAGUGAAUACCUGCCAUCAGACAUCAGACAAAAGGCUAAUAACCAAAACAUAUAAAGAGCUCUACAACUCAGCAAAAAAAAAAAAGGCCCUAUCAGAAAAUGGGGAGAGGAUAUGAACAGAAUAUUCAUCAGAGACUGAAAAGGCCAACAGACAAAUGAUAAAACUCUCCAAGUCACUGACUGUCAUAAUAAUACAAAUUAAGACAACAAUGAGAUACUACCUCACUCUUGUGAGAAUGGCAUGCAUUAGAAAUGGUAGCAACAACAAUUGCUGGAGAGAUUGAAAGGAGAAGGGACCCCUCUUGCAUUACUGGUGGGAAUAUAAAUUGGUCCAACCCCUGUGGAGAGCAGUCUGGAGAACUCUCAGAAGUCUAGAAAUGGACCUACAUUAUGACCCAACAAUGCUCCUAGUGGGGAUAUUUCCUAAGGAAUCAUAUACACCCGUCCAAAAAGAUCUAUGUAUACGUAUGUUCAUAGCAGCACAAUUUGUAAAAGCCCAAACUUGGAAGCAACGUAGGUG